AACUCUCAGCAACGAAAAUCUUGGCUCUUGCAACGAUGAAGAACGCAGCGAAAUGCGAUACGUAGUGUGAAUUGCAGAAUUCCGUGAAUCAUCGAGUUUUUGAACGCAAGUCGAGGCUCGUUCCUGCUAGAGCGUCA
rnacentral:rRNA from 2 species